rnacentral:rRNA from 1 species
CGAGCGAUCGAUGGGAGCUUGCUCCCUGAGAUUAGCGGCGGACGGGUGAGUAACACGUGGGCAACCUGCCUAUAAGACUGGGAUAACUUCGGGAAACCGGAGCUAAUACCGGAUACGUUCUUUUCUCGCAUGAGAGAAGAUGGAAAGACGGUUUACGCUGUCACUUAUAGAUGGGCCCGCGGCGCAUUAGCUAGUUGGUGAGGUAAUGGCUCACCAAGGCGACGAUGCGUAGCCGACCUGAGAGGGUGAUCGGCCACACUGGGACUGAGACACGGCCCAGACUCCUACGGGAGGCAGCAGUAGGGAAUCUUCCGCAAUGGACGAAAGUCUGACGGAGCAACGCCGCGUGAACGAAGAAGGCCUUCGGGUCGUAAAGUUCUGUUGUUAGGGAAGAACAAGUACCAGAGUAACUGCUGGUACCUUGACGGUACCUAACCAGAAAGCCACGGCUAACUACGUGCCAGCAGCCGC